GGGGGUAUAGCUCAGUGGUACAGCAUUCGAUUGCAGAUCGAGAGGUCCCCGGUCUCUACCCGGGUUCUCCCU